AUGGCAUGUAUUUAGCACCUGUGUGGUAUCUGUUCUUAUCAGUUUAAUAUCUGAUAGAUCCUCUAUAUGAGGAAUACAUAUUAAAUAGAUUUUUAGAACAGGGAGACGGAAGAGGGGCUUGCUCUGUCCGCUCCACGCAUCCACCUGGUAUUGCAGUACCUCUGGGAACGGUGCACAAACU
rnacentral:snRNA from 1 species